GUAAGCUUGGCCGAGUGGUCUAAGGCGGCAGAUUUAAGUUUUUUCUAAAACUCUGCUCACGAAAGUGGCGCGAGUUCGAACCUCGCAGCUUACA